rnacentral:piRNA from 1 species
AAGUUGUGAUGUGCUCAGUGACC